AAGGAGAGGGGAAGAAGAAGAAGAAGAAAGAAAAAGAAAAAGAGCCAAAGUACGCUCCUUUGAGCUUUAAGGGUUUUUCUAACUGUCUUUCUUUC
rnacentral:ribozyme from 1 species